rnacentral:rRNA from 1 species
AGCGAACGCUGGCAGCAGGCCUAACACAUGCAAGUCGAACGAACCUUUCGGGGUUAGUGGCGGACGGGUGAGUAACACGUGGGAACGUGCCUUUAGGUUCGGAAUAACUCAGGGAAACUUGUGCUAAUACCGAAUGUGCCCUUCGGGGGAAAGAUUUAUCGCCUUUAGAGCGGCCCGCGUCUGAUUAGCUAGUUGGUUGAGGUAAUGGCUCACCAAGGCGACGAUCAGUAGCUGGUCUGAGAGGAUGAUCAGCCACAUUGGGACUGAGACACGGCCCAAACUCCUACGGGAGGCAGCAGUGGGGAAUCUUGCGCAAUGGGCGAAAGCCUGACGCAGCCAUGCCGCGUGAAUGAUGAAGGUCUUAGGAUUGUAAAAUUCUUUCACCGGGGACGAUAAUGACGGUACCCGGAGAAGAAGCCCCGGCUAACUUCGUG